UAUAUCGUAAUAAAGAACUGGUCAGCACUCCUCUGUCUCGUACAAUUACGGCGACGAAGGAAGAAUUCUCCUCUCCUUGUCAUCCACAAUACCCCAAGGAUAGAAAUGGAGCGAUCUCAGAUCUGAUUUGCUCUCAGAUGCCUAAUCCUAGCUCUGCUCCUCUCUUGGGCUGUGGCCGAUGACAACGUCUUUGUCCUCAGAUUUGCUCUCGGAUGCCUAAUCCUAGCUCUGCUCCUCUCCUUGGCUGUGGCCGAUGACAAUGUCUUCGUCCUCACGGAAGCCAACUUCGAGAAGGAGGUUGGCCAACGUCUUCGUCCUCAGGUUUGCUCUCGAAUGCCUAAUCCUAGCUCUGCUCCUCUCCUGGGCUGUGGCCGAUGACAAUGUCUUCGUCCUCACGGAGGCCAACUUCGAGAAGGAGGUCGGCCAACGUCUUCGUCCUCAGGUUUGCUCUCGGAUGCUCCUCCAUUUCGUUUUGGUUUCUUGUCAAUCAUCGAAUCCGCUUUGGUCUUUGCCGCCUUGUAACCAUUUUAGAACAGUUCUCUGAUCCGAUCGAGAUACCGAGGACACAUGAUGCGUGGAUGUUGUCCUUUCUGCCGGAUGAGGGGGCAUUGGCUUGAUUUCGAUGGAUCUUGUCAUCAGCUAUUAUUACCAUCUGAUUCGCAGCUCCUAUGAUAUCAAAUACUGUUCGAGUGACUUGUACAAUCUUUCGGAGAUCAAGUGGAUUCUUCGUUUGUGUUUCUUUCUUUUAUCACUUCCUUUCGUAUUGAAACAGUAGCUCCGAUAUGAUGAUGAAAAGUUAGUUAGGAGAGUAGAGUUCGAUAGAGGAACUACAAAACCAGAAGCUUUCUAUUUCAUAUAUCUAGCCUUUGUUUGAAUGUGCUUUUGUUGGCAGGUGCGGCCAUUGUAAGAAGCUUGCCCCGAGUAUGAAACGUUUGGUUCAAGGUUUAAGAAGGCAAUGCCUGUUUUGAUUGGGAAGGUGGUUAUCCUACAUUGAAGUUUUUCCCCAAUAGCAGCAAAGCUGGUGAAGACUAUAAGGGUGGACGCGAUUUAGAUGACUUUGUUGAAUUUAUUAAUGACAAGUGUGGAACCAAUCGUGAUGCAAAAGGUCAACUUCCAUCAUAGGUUAUGGGGUGAUAGAUUAUGAAGGAUGAUGUUUACGAGUUUUGUCAAUCAAUUUUUUUUAAACAAGUGGAGCUUUAGUGAAAGAAUUUAUGAGUGCCUCUAAUGAUGAACGGAAGGCAAUUUUAUGCUGGAAUGGAAAAGUCAAAAAGCUAACAGGUUAUUCUGCAA